GCGACGACGACACAGUGCUGGUGAUUAUUCGCGACAUCUCCUCUCGCACAGCUAGGGCACACGACCUCCCACCGCCGGCCGUCUCUUCUUCCUCACCACCGGCCGACAGCUCUUCACUGCCGCACAGACCCCUCUCAGGAAUCGGGAAGUGCGGUGGUGGAUUUCGCCGGCGAUGACGACGCCCAACAACCUUCUCAACUGCGAGCCCACACCCUCCGCCCGACCCUCGGAGGCAGAGCCAUUACCUUGGCACGCCCAUCGCCACCCCUUCCUCCUCCUCUUCCUCCGCUGCCUAACUCCUUCAAGGGUUGCUGCUGCUGCCUCUUCCUACUCCUCACCUUCCUCCAAAUUGUUAACUCAUAUGAACACAUUGCAUCUUUGUUAACAUUUCAACGACUGAGGCUUCCUCCAAGUGUUUAACGUUGGGAACUUCAGAGUGGAACCACCAGGGUUAUUUCGUGGCCGAGGAGAGCAUCCAAAGAUGGGAAAACUAAAAAACAGAAUUAAGCCAAGAGAUAUUACAAUCAAUAUAGGAAAAGAUGCACCAAUUCCGGAAUGCUCAAUACCUGGUGAAAGAUGGAAAGAAGUAAAACAUGAUAAUAAUGUCACAUGGUUGGCAUUCUGGAAUGAUCCCAUAAAUCCAAAAGAGUUCAAGUAUGUCUUUCUGGCAGCGAGUAGUUCAUUAAAAGGGCAAAGUGACAAAGAGAAAUAUGAGAAAGCCAGGAUUAUAUACAAAAUAUUUGAAGAAACUAUACAAGAGAUUUUAAUAGUAAAGAUCCAACAAAGCGGCAAAUAGCAAUGGCAACUUACCUUUAUUGAUAAGCUGGCUCUCAGGGCAGGCAAUGAAAAGAUACACUGUGGUAGGUGUUUUGUCCCAGUCUCAAGCCGACAAUCCUUUUUGAUCAGUAUAUCUAGUAAAAGUAAGCAUGCAGAUUGUUGUCUUUGAGGCCGGCUAGCUAUUUUAUGCUUUUUUUGGUUUAAAUUCGAAUGUCACUAUCUACUUUGAAAUAGAACUAUUUAGUCUUUGUGUAUAGUUGAAUUCUCCUGUAAAUACUAAUACUUUGUAAUUGAAUUCUAUUAUUUUGGUACGAGU